GUUGCUUCUUACAGGUGAACUCUCUCUCAUAUACAAAUGGGAUGUUCAUGUUAUGAAGCAUAGAUUAAUGGGUUUAUUUCACCUUUGCCAGUUUUAAACAGCGCUGUGUAUUCUUUUGUUGCACUGUGCUACCUGUCUCCUGGUAUAUUU